CUUAUGCUUUGUAACCUGUAUGGUGAGGUGGCAGAUGUCAGCAGAUGUCAUAGUAGCCAAAUGCCUGGAGUAAUGCCCCGGAUAUGGUGAAAGGC
rfam:Desulfobacter postgatei 2ac9 chromosome, whole genome shotgun sequence.